rnacentral:rRNA from 1 species
AGACGUAGGAUGCAAGCGUUGUUCGGAUUUAUUGGGCGUAAAGCGUACGUAGGCGGUUCGCCAAGUCUGGUGUUAAAGCUAGGAGCUCAACUCCUGUGAUGCACUGGAAACUGGCGGGCUUGAGUGCGGUAGGGGAAAGUGGAAUUCCGAGUGUAGCGGUGAAAUGCGUAGAUAUUCGGAAGAACGCCAGCGGCGAAAGCGACUUUCUGGGCCGUAACUGACGCUGAGGUACGAAAGCGUGGGGAGCAAACAGGAUUAGAUACCCUGGUAGUCCACGCCGUAAUCGAUGGUCACUAGGUGUUGGGGGUAUCGACCCCCCCAGUGCCGUAGCUAACGCGUUAAGUGACCCGCCUGGGGAGUACGCACGCAAGUGUGAA